rnacentral:rRNA from 1 species
GACGAACGCUGGCGGCGUGCUUAACACAUGCAAGUCGAACGGAAAGGCCCUGCUUUUGUGGGGUGCUCGAGUGGCGAACGGGUGAGUAACACGUGAGUAACCUGCCCUUGACUUUGGGAUAACUUCAGGAAACUGGGGCUAAUACCGGAUAGGAGCUCCUGCUGCAUGGUGGGGGUUGGAAAGUUUCGGCGGUUGGGGAUGGACUCGCGGCUUAUCAGCUUGUUGGUGGGGUAGUGGUUUACCAAGGCUUUGACGGGUAGGCGGCCUGAGAGGGUGACCGGCCACAUUGGGACUGAGAGACGGCCCAGACUCCUACGGGAGGCAGCAGUGGGGAAUAUUGCACAAUGGGCGGGAGCCUGAUGCAGAAACGCCGCGUGCGGGAUGACGGCCUUCGGGUUGUAAACCGCUUUCGCCUGUGACGAAGCGUGAGUGACGGUAAUGAGUAAAGAAGCACCGGCUAACUACGUG